CUCUCCCUCUCUCUCACUCCCUCCCUCCACUUUACCCCUCACACUAAUAACACUUCAUGGAUACAACCCUGUGGACUGACUCCAUCCGAACCCCUCCCCAUGUCCCCCAUGUACACCGGCACUAACAGCAGGGCCACCCACUCCCACCCUCCCUUUCUCCCAUUCCAGGAGAAACAGCUUGCAGUCGGACCGAAAGGGCCAAGCCGGGUGGUGGAGUGCUCGAUAUCCAUUCCCUCACCCCCUCACCUCGCCAUGUGGGGAGGGCCCUGGUACGACCCUGGAAGCCUCAUGUGGGGAUUCUGAAACAUCCACGUCCCACCGACCGAGUAAGGAGCAAUGUUCAGUGAAGGGCAAUUCUCACUUUAAACCCACUGGCAGCUCCGUUUCCCCCCGGCACAACUUAGAAGCCGUGGCCCUGAUGCCAUCUCCCUUCUGUGUCGAGCUGGUACAAAUGGAAUCCCCACGGUCUCGGGGGGCAGGAGGGUGGGCUCACAUCACAUUGUCAACACCACCUCCCAGGAAGGGAGCACGGAGACUCCCUCCCUCACCUCCCCCUGUAAACAGCUCAGAUACUGACACUAAUCUGUGAUAGUUACUGCUCUCCCCACUUGUCCUGAUAUCUUCAACAAUCUGUGCUCAUAUACACCCAGCGCUCUCUGUUCCUGCAGCCCCUUUAUAACGGCACAGCCUGUUUUAAACUGUCUUUCUUUAUCUUUCAUACCAAAGUGCAUCACCUCACACUGCUCUGCAUUGAUCCCCGUCUACCAGCGUGUCACUGUCCUGUUAGAGUUCCACACUGUCCUCCAUAGACUUUACAAUUCUUGCAGGUUUGGUCCCAUUUACAAACAUUAAGAUUGUCAUAGUGUCACAGUCCCCAUGAAACAACUGAAAUCCUGCCCCACACACAGGAGUGUGAGCAAGUGAAAUACUGAUAUUUCCCUAUGGACAGAGUCAAAUAAUGACAUACUGUCAAUGGAAUAACAAAAGUCCUGACAUAUACGAGACAGAGUAGAUGAAAUAUUGACAAACCACAGAGCAAGAGAAAUCCGGAUAGGUUCCACUUAUCUAUAUUCAUCAGGGUAUAAUGGGAUGAAGGUGAAAGUGUGUACUGUACCUUUAAGAGAGAGUGAAUGCUGCUCUGAACUGAGAGCUUACAAGUCCCUGUGAUAUGAGAGGAUGGCAGACCCAGAAACAGUAUAUUGCUGUAGAGCUGGAGUCGGGUUAUAAGCAGUUAAGAGAUAGAGGGUCUCUUUCAGUUCACUUUCAGUGUUAAAAGCUACAUUGUUGUUUUUAUUUAAACAGUGGAAUUUGGGAGUUCUCUGUCACUCAUAUUUCAACAGUUUAUGAGGCGAAUUGAGCAUUUAUUUAUGUUUAGUUUAAAUUACCAGAUGAGAUCUAUGUUGUGUCCUAACAAUUGCUGUGUGUGUAUCUGUGUGUCUCCGUGUGGAGCAGGUCUGGCUGUCUCUAUGGUGCUGAAAGUGAUGCAAUGCCACCCUCUGCUGGCCUCCCCACGCCACUGCACAGGCAUUGGCAGAGGGUGAAAACCAACAGGGAUUCAUUCAGAGAGGGGGAGGGGGAGGGCAGCUGCUCACAGCACCAUCCAAACUGAUGUCUUAUCCAUGUACUGAUCUAAAUGUCCUAUAAACGUUGUAACUGUCCCUGCUUUCACCACUUGCUCUGGAAGUUCAUUCCACACAAAAGCGAGCUUCUGUCUAAAAUAAUUACCUUUCCUGACUUUUGUAAAUCUGUUUUCCUCGCACGUUAAAAUAUCCCUCAGUUUUGAAUCCCCAACUCUAGGGAAAAGACAUCAGCCCUUCAGCUUAUCUGUACCCCUCACUAUUUUAUAAACCUCUGUAAAGUUACCCCUCCAUCUCAUACUCUGCAGUGAAAAAUGUCCCAACCUAUUCAGCCUCUCCUUAUAGCUCAAUCCCUCCAUUUCCAGCAACAUCCAGGUUAAACUCUUCUGAACCCUCUCCAGCUUAAUAACAUCAAGGUCAAUAAUAUCAAAGUGAAUAGUCAAUGUAUUUUAUAAGGGGGUAGUGGAGACCAAAACUAGAGGACAUAGUUGUAAGAGGGGAAACAUUUAAAAGUGACCUAAGGGCAGCUUUUUCACCCAGAGGGUGGUGUGCCUAUGGAAUGAGCGGGCAGGAUGUCCAGACUGGACACAGUAUCCCAGAAGAGGUCUCACCAAUGUCCUGUACAACCUCAACAUGACGUCCCAAAUUCGAUACUCAAGGGUCUGACCUUUGAAGACAAGUGUGUUAAACACCUUCUUAACCACAUUAUCUAUAUGAGAUGCAACUUUUAAAGAAUUAUACCUGAUGGCCUAGGUCUCUGUUCUACAACACUGCCAAAGGCCCUACGUUUAAUUGUAUAAGUCCUGCUCUUGUUGGAUUUACCAAAUCCAAUACCUCUCAUUCAUCAAAACUUAAAUCCAUCUGCCACGCCUCGGCCAGUGAGUGAUAUUACCACCUCCUCACCUUCCCCGUUUAAUUUUAAAAUGCCCACCCCUCUCCAGGAGGCCUGCAUAGUCCGGCCUUGAUUUUCACAAAGACCCUGAGCUUGGUUUGCCUUGUGUGGUUAGAGGAAGGAGGGACGGAUUGCAGACACAGUCAGUGGGGAGGAGAGGCUGGACAGUAAUCAGCGGCCUGGUAUCAUUUCAUGGUUUUAGGCAGAGGGUAGACAUACGUGAGAUUUAGGUUAUACUGGUCGGUGUUUUGGGACCAGAAAUUAUGGUCUUUCUCCGUGCCUGGUGUUCAGUAAUAAAUAUCUAUUUGAGAGCCUUCAUUGGGCAGAGUGUGUCUGCAGGAAUUCUUUCCCUAAUAUUGCAGACUACAGAUAAUAGCGAUUAAAGAUGGUCAUAGUUAAUUUCGAUCUUGCACUAGUUUAACAACACAAAAUGUUUUGUGUAGUUCAGUAAUGGUAACCUGAUUAUAAUAAAUCCACACCGAGCUGAACGCUGCCCCUUAAAAUGUGACCCAAAAUCUGGGUACAGUAGUGUAGUGGGUAGUGUCCCUGUCUCUGAGCCAAGGCACUGGGUUUGAUUCCAAUUCCUGAAAUUGUUUGGUAGUGUUCCUAGCUCUGGACCAGAAGGUGUGGAUUCAUGUCCUGCCUGCUGCAGAGGUAUGUCUCAGCAUGUCAUAACAGGCUGAUGGACAAACACAGUGAAUAAUGUUACAGCUUUAUGGGUAUUGCCGAGUGGUGCUCGUGUCCCUACCUCCGGGCACAAAGGUCUAGGUGUAAAUCCCACAGAAGUGUCUCCUAAUAUAUCUGAACAAACUGAUGAAACUGGUUUUAGAAUUGUGACUUGAUGGAGAAAGAACAGGUGUCAGUGUUGAAUUUCAGCAUUUCGGCCCAGGAUUAUUGAAAGUACAGCCAUUCGUGUUGAUUGGAGUCACAUUUCGCAGCAGUAAAGGUUUAUAAAAUCAGAACGGUCAUGGAUAGGGUUUGUAGUCAAGGCUUUUCCCCAGGUUAGGGGCGUCCAAAACUAGAGGAUAUUGGUGGAAAGUGAGAGGGGAAAGGUUUUGAAGAGGCCUAAGGGGCACCUUUUCACACAGAGGGUGGUGUGCGUAUGGAAUGAGCUGCCAGAGGAAGUGGUGGAGGCUGGUACAACUACAUCAUGUAAAAGGCAUCUGGAUGCUGACAGACCUGGUGAGUUUUUCCAGCAAUUUCUGUAUUUGUUAAAACAAAGAAUUCAUUUUAACACAGGUAUCUGUGUUAGCUGGCUGGAUACAGAAUUGGCUGGCCAACAGAAGACAGUGAGUGGUAGUGGAAGGAAAAUAUUCUGCCCGGAAGUCUGUGGGACAUAUAAAAAAUAUCUUCAAAUCGACCAAGACCAUUUUCUGCUCAGGGUAUGGCUCUGUGUAUGACAGCAGCAAUGAUGCACCGACAUGGAACAGGGAAUGUGAUGGAGACAUAGUUUGGACAAUGUACAAGGAGACCUCACAUGGUCCAGUAUUGGGAGAGAAUGACAUUAUUGUGUGAUUCAACUCAGAGAGGGAGACAAUGUCAUCUGCCAGAGAAGAAACAGCCUAUUGCACUCCCUCUCCUUCAUUAUUCCCCAUCACAGUAACGUGUACGAGCUAAAACAAAAGUCUACUGUCAUCGUUACCAUUCUUAUUUUUAUAGAAUCCUGCAGUGUGGAAACAAGCCCUUCGGCCCAACAAAUCCAUACCAACCUUCCAAAGAGUAACCUUCCCAUGCCCUUACAGUUACCACUGACUAGUGCACCUAAAGUAGAAAUCGCUGAACACUGUGGACUAUUUGACCAACCCACUUGAAUUAUACAGCUUUGGGCUGUGGGAGGAAAUGGGAGCGCCCAUCAGAAGCUCACGCAGACAAGGGGAGAAGAUGCAAACUCCACCCAGAUAGUCGCCCGAGGCUGGAAUUGAACUCAUACCCCUGAUGCUGUGAUGGAACACUGCGAACUCCUGAGCCACUGUGCUAACCUGGAACCUCCUGACUGCCGAAUGCAAAGGGAAUUCAGCCCAAUUCCAACUGUCCCAGGAUAAAAUCCCAUUGCUAGCAGCUGUGUGAGUACAAUAUCUUCAGAAGCAGAAUAACAUUUUGGACAAUCUCUCAAUUUUUCCUUUUGUCAUUAGUUACACAAAUAUUUGGACAAGGUUCUUUAACGUGAAAUUGCAGAAAGUCUGUGUGUGUGUGUGUGUGUGUGUGUGUGUGUGUGUGUGUGUGUGUGUGUGUGUGUGUGUGUGUGUGUGUGUGUGUGUGUGUGUGUGUGUGUGUGUGUUUUUAGAACGGGAAAUAUCGAGUCUUUGUUUGCAAUAUCCAGUUUGCCAUUCAGCAUUCCAUCAUAGUUGGAGUAGCGUUGCUCUGGAUCAUAAACGUGCUAUUUGAGCAGAUUAAAGAAACUAGCCUGACUUGUUCCUAAAACUGACCCUGACCCAGUCUGAGACCAAUAUCAUCGGCCACAUCACCGACCUGGUUACAUUUAACAUUUGUUGUGAACAGUGGAGGAGUGGGACUAGAAAAGGAGACAGUGACCCAAAAAGCCGGGGAACUAUAGACCGGUGAGCCUGAUGUCGGUGGUGGGUGAGUUGUUGGAGGGGAUUCUGGGGGAUAGCAUUUACAUACAUUUGGGAAGGUAAGGGCUGAUCGGGGUAGACAACGUGGCUUUCUGCAUGGGAAAUCAUGGGACAUUAAUUUGGUUGAGUUUUGUGAAGAGUUGAUACAGAAGAUUGAUGAAGGCAGUUUGGUAGAUAUUGUCAUUAUGGACCUCAGCAAGGUGUUCAUAACAUUCCGAUUGGUAGGCAGAUUAGUAAGGUUCGGUCACAUGGGAUACAGAAGAAGCUCGUCACAAUUGGCUUGAAGAAAGAGGGGUAUUUUUCAGCCUUGAGGCUUGUGAGCAGAAAUUGUACACUUAAUGGUAAGGGCCUGGUGAGUGUUCUGAAACAAAUGGACAUAGGGCUGCAGGUACCUUGUUCCUUGAAAGUGGAGUCGAAUGCAGACAGUGCAGUACAGAACACAUUUUACACAUUUGCCUUAAUCAGUCAGAGCAUUGAGUAUAGGGGUUGUGGUGGCAUGUUGCAUCUGUUCAGGAUGUUGGUGAGGCCACUUUAAGAAUACUGCGUACAACUCGGUUUUCUGCAGAAAAGAUUUACACAGAUGUCCCAGGACUGGAGGUUUGCGCUUUAGGGAGAGGAUGAUUAGUUUGAGGUGUUUCCACCUGGAGUGUCAGAGCUUGAAGGGUAACAUUAUAGAGGUUUAUAUAAUCAUCAGGGACAUAGAUAUUCUGAACAGAUAUGUUCUGCUCCCCAGGGUAGGGGACUCCAGAACAGGAGUGCAUAGUUUGAAGAGGUGAGGACAAAUGACUUAGAAGGGACCUGAAGAUAAAUGUUUCACACAGAGAGUGGUGUGUGUACCGAAAGUGCUGUCAGAGGAAGUGGUGAAGGCAGUUACAAUCGCACAUUUAAAAAGUAUCUGAAAGAGGAGGGAUAUUGGCCAAACGCUGGUAAAUGGGACUGGAUCAGAUGUGAUAUCAGCUCGUUGUGAACAGAUUGGACUAACAGGUCUGUUUCUGUUCUGCAUGACACUGAUUCUAUAAGAGGGAUGACAAAAAAUUCUGAAAGUAAUGUCCAAAUCAGAAUCCUCUUCACUGGAAGUUUAUUAUGCCUCUAUGUUCACAUUGAUUAACAGUUAUGUUAGUGAAAUAUUUGACAGAGAACUGAGUCAUGGAUAAUGGGACGCAGACAGGAAAGUGGGGCUGAGACCACAACCUGAUCAGCCACAAUCUUAGUGCCUGGUGGAGAAGGUUCAAUGUAUCUAAUGACUCACUCCUGUCCCUCAAUCCCGUGUUCCUGUGUUCCAUUCAGCCCAUUAAACCUGUUCGGCAGGAGCAUUUAGAGGCUACUUACUUCUAUAACCUGGUGCACAGAAACCGAGGUGAUCAUUCGGCCCUUUAAGGGUGUCCCACACGGUUUGAGGUGAUUUGAGAAGUGUACUUAUAAAACCCAAGCUGGGUAUGAAAGAGGCCCCACAUCUCUCUGUACAGAGCUUCCUCUCUCUGAAACUUGUGCUCUAUUUCUUGGUCAUAUUGUAGACCCAAAUUCACUAUGAAUACAGCCCCCAUACCUCACCCAGCGAUGGCUCAUAAAAUCCUCUUGUCUCCCUGAUGGCAACAUUCAAUAACAGAACAUUCAUGAAAAUAUCACCCACUAACUUUCCAAUAACAGAAUGUGAGAACAUCAGACACAGGGGCAGGUCAUUCUCUCCCCAAGCCUGCCUUGCCCUUCACUAAGAUCAUGACUGAUCUGCUCUUGGUCUCAAAUCCUCUUUCAUACCCAAUUCCUCAUCGCCCUCAACUCUCUGACAGGUCAAUAUCCAUCUACCUCCUCUUCAAAUACUUUCAGUCAUCUGGCUCCCCGAACACUCUUGAGAAGAGAAACCCUGACAUUCAAUACCACCUGUUUGAAGAAAACCCUUGCUGCUCCUAUACCAUGGCUUAUUGAUAUGAACAAAAGGGGUUGAUACAAGGGGUCAGGUAAAAAUGAUUGACCCUGAUAUCAAGGCUUCUGUUGACAUCAAGGAGCUGAACAAAUCUGAACUUAAUGGAAUCAGAGAAAACUCUCCAGUGUUUGGAGUCAAACAUGGCACAAAGGAAGAUGUUCAUCAUCUCAGUCCUGGGUCACCUCUGUGGGAGAUCCUCAGGGUAGCUUCCUCUUCACAAACAUCUUCAGCUGCUUCAUCAAUGUCUCCCCACCCUCACUCUCCCCGCCAUAAGAUCAGAAGUGGGGAUGGUCACCUAGGAUUCCACAAUGUUCAGAAUAAUUUGACGCCCCCGUCAGCUCCUGAACUGGACUGUGUCCAUGUGCAGCAAGACAUGGACUCCAUUGAGGCUUGUGCUUUUAAAGAGUCUGUAACAUUCAUAUAAAGGACUGUCUGACACUACACAUUGCCACAGUAAACUAAGAGUUCAUUCCGCACCUUACACUGGUUUCACAGGAAUAUGAGGAGGUCAUUCAACCCAUUGACACUAUUAGAGAAGAACAGGGACAGCCCAUUCAGUGCCUCCAACAUAUUACUCAAGAAGGGAAGGAUUCUAGUGUGAUGGGCCACACCAGAGCCCCUCGACAAUAUUUGAAGGCGGUAGCCUAGACUCUAAUGUUUUCUUAUUUUAAAGAAAAUGUAAAAUGUCUGUUCCAGAUGCAAUGUUACUGGACAAACAACUCGGUGUGAAGCAUAACCCCAUUUGCUUAAAUACGAUAGAUGAAAUAAAACCAAAGAAAGAAGAAUUUAGAAUAAUGUAAUUAUAUUGGACAAGUUAACAGAACAAUAGAUCUAGGAACUAAUACUAAUGAACUGUUCCAAUACUGGAAAAUCACAUGAACACAGCCCUUGGAAAAAAGGAAUAUUCAGACACUGAAUGACACAAAUAUUUCUCCAAUUCAGGAUUUAAAAACAGCACCAAGAGAAAAUUCAUAGAGAGGAGCUGCCAGGAGACAUUCACUAAAACUUUCAACUCGGUGGAGACCCCAAUAAUUUCUGAUGUUACUGAGAAACCGAAACCCAGAAAUCCUAAUCUGUGAAAGCUGACCACACCCAUUCCAUCUGCAUUAAAAUAAACCCAAGGCAUCACUAGUUGUUUAUUCAAGUGAUCCUAACUAGCCAGCUUGGUAACGGUCAUUCAAUCUCUCUCUUAAAAUAAACCAGAACAAAAUAACUUCUUAAAGCUACAGCAUCAUCACACUAGUCAGCACAUCGAGCUGUCAUUCAGGAACCAGGGGUAACACAAUCAGGCCUUUGACCCAAUCGGACGAGGAAGAAGCCAGUCAGUCCCUUGAGUGACUUACACAGGAACAGUAGGAGGCCAUUCCCACCUCAAUGCACUUACACGGGGCAGAAUGAGGUAAUUGAUGCUGAUUCCUGAUGAACGGCUUAUGCUCGAAACGUCGAUUCUCCUGCUGUGCUUUUCCAGCAAACUACUCUGAUCUUCAGCAUCAACAGUCCUCGCUGUCUCCUAAUUGAUGCUCUAACAUGAUGACCAAGUGGAGCAGAGGCUGCACACACAGACUGCUCCACGUUGUUCCUCGUAGCUCCGUCUGUCAUGAUACACACGUGGGACUUUAACGUGGUUUUCUCGCGGUGAGGAGGGAAGACAUAUGUCUUGUGUGAAGUUACAAGAAGGCUCCUUCCAUCUCCGGGAAGCCAGCCUGGUGUUCUCUAUGUAGGGUGGAUGCUGAUGGGAAUGGCUACCUGUUUCAGAUGGAAGGUAUUGUGGCUGCUGUUGGGGAUUGUGAGCAACCUGACGUUCAGUUCGGGUUCACACGCCGACUACACAAUAACGUGGGAAGAGUUAAUUAAGGCAUAUAAACUAUUAGGAAAGUCACGUUAGACUGAUGGAUGGACUCUCUAAAUUCAAAUAAUGCUGAUCUUGUUCAUGUUGAUCUUGUCUAGUGCACAUCCUGUUCAAUGUAACCGUUAUGCCUUACUCUGUCCAAGUCUAUUUCCACCCUAUGAUCUGUCUGGCCAUGUUUACUAUGAUCUGCCUCCACUGCUCAUAAAUAAAGUGUUUCCCUGUACUGAGGUACACGUGACAAUAAAUCAAACCAAUAACUCC